UUACAAGCUGGGGAUAAUUGUACAUCUUUUUCCUAAGCUCAAGCACAUUUUCUCUCCUUGUCAGUUUAAUAUCUCAUAAAGUCCUGUACUAGAAGACACUCUAUGGCAUGGAUUUAUCCAGCAGGGAGAUGGAAUAGAAGCUUGCUCCAUCCACUCUAUGCAUCAAAUAGUAUCACAGUACUUCCAUGAAUGGUGUACCCCAU
ensembl:snRNA U2 U2 spliceosomal RNA